rnacentral:lncRNA from 1 species
AUGUGUUUGUUUGAUCGUUUGUUUGUUUUCACCUUUUAUUGAUAACACAUACAGCAUCCUUCAUGUGAACCUAAUUCCAGGACUGCGGCAGCGGCACUGCUGCUCUGCAGAGUCACUGUUUUGAUUACUGGACUAGCUGAUGUUCUCAUACAGCUUCACACACUUCACACACACAUCACACACUCUUUACACACCCUUCACACACCUUUCACACACCCUUCACACACCCUUCACACACACAUCACACACCCUUCACACACACACAUCACACACUCUUCACACACACUUCACACACCCUUCACACACACAUCACACACCCUUCGCACACCCUUCGCACACACAUCACACACCCUUCACACACACUUCACACACACAUCACACACUCUUCACACACCCUUCACACCCUUCACACACCGUUCACACACUCAUCACACACUCUUCACCCACCCUUCACACCCCCCUUCACACAUCACACACCCUUCACACACCCUUCACACCCCCUUCACACACCCUUCACACACUCUUCACCCACCCUUCACACACUCUUCACACAAUCUUCACACACCCUUCACACACCCUUCACACACACAUCACACACUCUUCACACACCCUUCACACCCCCUUCACACACCCUUCACACAAACAUCACACACCCUUCACACACUCUUCACACUCUUCACACACUCUUCGCACACCCUUCACACACCCUUCACACACCCUUCACACACACAUCACCAACUCUUCACACACCCUUCACACACACAUCACACACUCUUCACACACCCUUCACACACUCUUCACACACCCUUCACACACACAUCACACACUCUUCACACACCCUUCACACACUCUUCACACACUUUUCACACACCCUUCACACACACAUCACACACUCUUCACACACCCUUCACACACCCUUCACACACUCUUCACACACCCUUCACACACUCUUCACACUCUUCACACACUCUUCACACACCCUUCACACAUCCUUCACACACCCUUCACACACCCUCACACACACACAUGUCUUUGUGUUUCUGUUUUUGUUUUUAGCAAAGGAAUUGACCGUAAACAUGUUAAAUUCUGCAUCUGUGCGUGUGCAU